UUGAGAGUUUUUGUUAAUGAUUGAGCAUGAUAUUGAAAGAAAAUUUUAUAAACUUUUGAAUAAAGCAUGAAAGGUCUUGACAAUAGACAUAAACUAUAAUAAUAUAAUAAGCCCAUAACAUCUGAUAUAUUGGACUAAGGAAAUAAUUGCAAGACAGUAGAUAUAUUCAAAAUCAUAGUCCAAUAUAUUUAAUGUAAUCGGCUUGUUAUAGUUUAUGAUGGUCAAGUUUGACGUCUAAUAGAUAUUGCUGAUAAAUGCAUAGCAACAUUAACAAUUUAAAAAAUGUUUAUUGCUAACCUUUCAAGCUUUAAUCAAAAUUUUAUCAAAUAAUGCUCAAUCAUUAAUAAAAAAUCUCAAACAGUGUUAUUGCCAAUUUAAUAUAAGAUACGUUUUGCCUAUCCACAAAACUGGUUAAGUAAAUUGCUCUACAGAUUGAUUCCAAAUUUUUUAACCGAAAAAUAUAUUGAUACAUGCUGACAGUGUAAUGUGAUUAUGUGUGCAUAGGCAAAUAUUUCUUUCAAAAAUAUUUUGUAACGUUUAAAACUUUUGACUCAUUUAAACACUUGCAUUCAGUUAGCCAAUCAAAUUUAGGGCACUGGGACAGUUUGACGGUCAUUUGUUUAUCGGCUCACUGUUUAAGGAUUUAAUUAUAAAAAAAGGAUUUAAACAUGAUUUUUCAAAUUUGACAGUUUGACUAUUUUAUGCAAAGGUAUUUCUAUUUUACUUUUGUUCAUGAAGAGCUCAAAAUUAAUUUAUAUGCUGAAUUACGUGUUUUAUCGUUUCGCAAGCAAAUCUUAUGCUAUGGUUUAUGAGCAUAAAUUUUAAAUAUGACGUUCAGCUUUGCCAAGAAGUAAAAUGACUCAAAACAAUGUCAUAUUUGGACUUUUCGAAAUCCGAGCUAAAAACUUUUUUUGGUACGUUCUGUACAUUCCAGAUUUGGUUCACCUAUAACUAACUUAAGAAAGAAAGACUCAGUGUCUAUUCUAGGACGCGCGAUUGCGCGAUUCACGCUAGUAUUUCACAGAUCGCGCACAAUUCAAAAUCAUGUGCGUGAAAAUCGCGCAUCUAUAAAAAAAGUUAAUAAAAUCGUAAAACUUUCAUCCCGCAUUAUAUUUGGUUGUUUUGUUUACAUUUACAUCGGAAACCGAAGGGAGUUAACUGUAAGCUAAUUAUAGUAAUUUAGUACCGUAUGGUACUGGUUACGAGAGUUGACGGAAAUUAACAGAAUGUUCCGUACCAACCGGAACUAGUGUGCUCGGUCUGACAGUUGGGCGCCAUUUUAGUGUAGUAAAUAAUCAAGAAAAACGAGGCAAUUCCUAGCUUGGCUACGAUCUAGAUGUGAAAGAUAGGUCGAUUGUUUGUAUUGUCAAUCCCUUUAUAAUCAAUCGCGGCAGUUCUGUAAUAAUCUGUUUUCGUUUAAAAAUUAAGGGGGGACAACUUCUGCUGCCUUAAAUAAAUAACGCCUCAGUGUAAACUUAAUGCAGACGAUUUAACAUUGGCAGUUUAUUUUGGCACCCCUUGAUUUUGAAAAUCGCCCCCUUUUUUGAAAUAGAGUGGGGAAAAUCACCCCUAUUUUUCAAUUCCUAGAAUAAACACUGAAGACUUAGUCACUACAUACUGAACCACUAGCCGAAAGAAUUAAAAACAAGAGAAGGGUUUAAAUGUUUAUUAAUUUAAUCCAAUAUUGUUUAAAAAAAUUAGAUACACACAUUUUGAAUUUCAGAUUUAUAAAGAUGGACCAAACAGAUCAGUGUUUCAUUUGUAAAGACAAUAUUAGAGCAAAGCAACAAAAACUACAAUGUACAGGUUGUUUUGUGAGCAUUCACAGGACAUGUACAAAAAUGACUCAGGCAAAGUACAGGGAAUAUGUUAAAGAUAAUCAAGUUAAUAGGAUAAAAUGUGAUAUCUGUGAUGCAAGUGGUAAAA